rfam:Actinomyces sp. oral taxon 448 str. F0400 genomic scaffold SCAFFOLD1, whole genome shotgun sequence.
CCUGCCGCCGGACGGAGCCGGCCGCGAGGGUUGGGGAACCCGACGACCGGCUGGUGUCCGAGACGGACCGGGUCUUAGGGAGCCCGGUUCGGUCGCUCCGGCGAAGGAG